rnacentral:rRNA from 1 species
GACGAACGCUGGCGGCGUGCUUAACACAUGCAAGUCGUACGGUAAGGCCCUUUCGGGGGUACACGAGUGGCGAACGGGUGCGUAACACGUGAGUAACCUGCCCACAACUUUGGGAUAACGCUAGGAAACUGGUGCUAAUACUGGAUAUGUGCUCCUGCUGCAUGGUGGGGGUUGGAAAGCUCCGGCGGUUGUGGAUGGACUCGCGGCCUAUCAGCUUGUUGGUGGGGUAGUGGCCUACCAAGGCGGCGACGGGUAGCCGGCCUGAGAGGGUGACCGGCCACAUUGGGACUGAGAUACGGCCCAGACUCCUACGGGAGGCAGCAGUGGGGAAUAUUGCACAAUGGGCGCAAGCCUGAUGCAGCAACGCCGCGUGCGGGAUGACGGCCUUCGGGUUGUAAACCGCUUUCAGCAGGGACGAAGCUUUUUGUGACGGUACCUGCAGAAGAAGCACCGACUAACUACGUG